rnacentral:tRNA from 1 species
GAGGCUUUGGCUUAAUGAAAGUAUCUGAAUUGCAAUCAGGAGAUGUAAGGUAAAAUCUUGCAAGUCUUG